CCUGAGAAACCCAAAAGAUCGAAAGGGAAGAUUCAUCGUCAGCUCAUAUUGUAUAUAUAUUAGUUAUGAUAUGAGUUACUACUUUCGGGUAGUAUUGCUUAUACAUUCUUAUAUAUUUAGUUGCAAUAUGUUGUCGGCGUGCACUUCUUUCCUAGUAGAACAUCGCGAUCCGUUGGAAUAAAAUUAAAUGUUGGUCUACGGCCCAAGUUGGUAGUCUUUAAUAUAUUUUUAAUUAAUUAUAUUAAAGUCCCUUGGUGUUUCCUGACCAUCUAUCUGACGGUACACAUAUGGUAUUAAGCCGCAAUUUAAUAUGCGUUUAUACCCGUCGCAAGCGAGGCUAAUUUCUAAUAGUUAUGGACUUAGUGCCGUCAUUAGUAUUGGCCAGCUGUUGGUUGUUACGGUGUUCUAAAACUGGCUUUAAAUAAUACCGAUCAGCGAUGCUACUGCUUUGGGUACUUUCAG
rnacentral:rRNA from 1 species